AUCUACUAUUUUCAGUCAACAGUGUUAUUCAUGCACAUAAUUUUUUCUUAAUACAUAAAUACUUACCGGCUUGAGCAACACAUUUUACAUUUGGCAAAUAGCAAAAUGUACAUAUUAUAAACAUCUUAAUAAAAAAAUAAUUUCUGAAUUCUUAACAGGGGGUUCCAUAAAUUUAGACCUACCCUGAAAUGAAAGCAAUGACAUUUUAAAAUCAAGAUGGACCUAAAAUUAUACGCUGUCUUCCUGUUUUGUUUUUUCUUUUUCCUUUUUACAUAGUUUACUUUCUGUGCCUGUUGCUGUGCCUUCCCAGGAGAGAUUAGAGGUAGAGUGAAAAUCUUUAUUACAUUGUACUGCUUUUGGUAAUAUUUUUCGACUUUUUGUGUUCAGUUUUGAAUAGUUUUCUGACUUCUUUUCUGAUGAUUUUCUUUGACAGACAUCUCCUUACCUCGGGAGAAAAAAAAUGAAAAAAACAAAAUGAUCUGCCCUACCACUGCGACUUAGUAGUAACUCAAAUUCCAUAGAUGAAGUCUGCAAUGGAACAAGAUGAGUACUGCAAAAGUUGCUGAUAUAUCUGGUUUGGCAUAAUAUCAAUAGCGUAACUUACUGCCCUGAAGCUUAAAUGGAAUGCAAAACACAAUAUAUGCAUAAAAUCCAUGGGUUGGAGCUGAUUUGUAUUUUGGAUUAAGAUUGCAUCAUCAGCUGUCAAGACCUCAAUAUAUGGAACCUGAGUGGCACAUGCAAGCAAUACAAAAAGACACGUCAUUAAUCUACCUGUUGUAAGAAAAGAAUAGAGAAAUUAAAGAUAGAAUGAGAAGUAGAAAACACAACAUAGCUAACAUACAUAUAUAAAGCAGUUUAACUCAACUCCAGGCAGCCAUCGAUAAAAAACAGUAAGGCUAAACAAAACAUGGUAUAAGAUGGUAUGCAGAUUUUUAUGGAAGUAUUUGAUUCAGAGAUGAACAAGAUUUUUUUGUAACUCCUUGCAUUAUGUGCGAUGUCAUUUAGGUCAGUAAAUGAAUCUUCUCUCUCCAUUAAAAGUAAUAUUCAAUGUCUGAAUUCCUCUAAUUAGGUCUUACCUAACACCCAGGAAAUAUUCUUCGAAUAACUCAACGCUUUUGUCAAGUUGUCCAUAUUCACUAUUUUUUAUUACUAAAAGUAAAUCAGAAGCAAUUCCACAUAAGAUACUGGAUUUACAUUAAUAUACACCCAGUAUCUGAAAGAAAAUGAAGCUGUAUCAUGUUGCAUUAUUUUGAGUAACAUGUACUAAAUAUCAUGAAGCUUUCAUUUAAAUUGGAUAGGAAGUAUGGAUCUGGAAAGCAAUAAGACUUCAGGAUUAGAUUUUUUAUUUUAUUUUUUUACAAAUGUUUAUUUAUUCAAAAUGUGGCAUCUAUAAAGUUGCAUUACAGAAUUUACCUGUGUCCUGGGUAGCAUUGUGAGAAUUCUUUAGGAGAUAUUCACUGUGCUAAAAUGAAAUAAAUACAUUCCUUAAUGUUCAAUAUGACUGAAAUGCAAAAACACCUCUUAGUGAAAUAGUGAUAAGUGCAAAUUAAAAUAAAUAUUAAAUGUUGUUCCA